rnacentral:lncRNA from 1 species
AUCCUUAACAAUCCCUAUUAUAAUAAAUAUAAUUUUAUCAAAACAUUUUUCUCCAUAGUUUUUCUUGGAUGGUAUUUGAAGUUCCGGAUCUGCACUUUCCCUUCCUUGGACAAGAAGGAAUCAGCCAUCAGAAACAUCAAAUUGAGCUCAUAUGAGCCAGAAACUGCAGGAUGUACAGGAGGGAACACUCACUGGGUCACUACGCUAUUUGGGUAUACAGUGGCUACUGCUUUUCUACCAUUCCUUGGAAGAACCACGUUGAUGAUAGCCAGCAGACCUUGGGAGACUUCAGACAACAAAAAUGUUGGAAGAGUAAGGAAAACAGGAAGACACAGCCAUUGCUAAAAUUUUAA